GACGAACGCUGGCGGCGUGCUUAACACAUGCAAGUCGAACGGAAAGGCCCCUUUGGGGGUACUCGAGUGGCGAACGGGUGAGUAACACGUGAGUAACCUUCCCUUGACUUCGGGAUAACUUCAGGAAACUGGGGCUAAUACCGGAUAGGAAUCCUUGCUGCAUGGUGGGGGUUGGAAAGCUUCGGCGGUUUUGGAUGGACUCGCGGCUUAUCAGCUUGUUGGUGGGGUAGUGGCUUACCAAGGCUUUGACGGGUAGCCGGCCUGAGAGGGCGACCGGCCACAUUGGGACUGAGAUACGGCCCAGACUCCUACGGGAGGCAGCAGUGGGGAAUAUUGCACAAUGGGCGGAGGCCUGAUGAAGCAACGCCGCGUGCGGGAUGACGGCCUUCGGGUUGUAAACCGCUUUCAGCAGGGGCGAAGCUUGUGGUGACGGUACCUGCAGAAGAAGCACCGGCUAACUACGUG
rnacentral:rRNA from 1 species